rnacentral:rRNA from 1 species
CACGUAGGGUGCGAGCGUUGUCCGGAAUUAUUGGGCGUAAAGCGCGCGUAGGUGGCCACAUAAGUCCGUUGUGAAAGUCAAAGGCUCAACCUUUGAAAGCCGAUGGAUACUGUGUGGCUAGAGUACGGAAGAGGCGAGUGGAAUUCCUGAUGUAGCGGUGGAAUGCGCAGAUAUCAGGAGGAACACCAAUAGCGAAGGCAGCUCGCUGGGACGUUACUGACACUGAGGCGCGAAAGCGUGGGGAGCGAACAGG